AAUAAGAUACUCAUUGUAGUUCUCCUCUUACAGCCUAACACUGGAAGGAAGGAUUCACUUCCAAAGAGAAGAUUACCAAGGAAAUCUAAAAUCUCAUUCCAAUUAGAACAAGACUUCCCUGUGACCUCCAGGGAACAGAAAAGGGAGGAUGGCAGCGCUACCAGUCAGCCACUGGU